rnacentral:rRNA from 1 species
UACGUAGGCAGCGAGCGUUGUUCGGAAUUACUGGGCGUAAAGAGUGUGUAGGCGGUGCUCCCAGUCUGUUGUGAAAUCUCCCGGCUUAACUGGGAGGGUGCAGCGGAAACUAGAGUGCUAGAGGGUGGGAGAGGUAAGCGGAAUUCCUGGUGUAGCGGUGAAAUGCGUAGAUAUCAGGAGGAACACCUGUGGUGUAGACAGCUUACUGGACCACUUCUGACGUGAGACACGAAAGCGUGGGUAGCAAACAGG